UAACCACUCAAGCCUCGCUUGGUGUUGGGGCUCGCAAUCUUGCGGCCUCUAAAAUCAGUGGCGGUGCCAGUAGGCUCUGAGCGUAGUACAUCUCCUCGCUAUAGAGUCCUAUCGGUCCCCUGCCAAAACCCCCAUAUUUUUAUA
rnacentral:misc_RNA from 1 species